GAUGAACGCUGGCGGCGUGCCUAACACAUGCAAGUCGAACGGAGUCCCGCCUUUAAGCCCUUCGGGUCCAGGAGGGGAAGACGGAGUGGCGGAAGGAUGAGGAACACGUGGGCAACCUGGCUCAGAGAGGAGGAUAACAGAGAGAAAUUUCUUCUAAUACGGCAUAAGGAGAGACUGCCGCGUGGGAGAGGGAGAAAAGAGAGGCGCGAUGAGAGGUACCCGCGUAUGAUUAGCCUGCUGGCAGGGUAAGCGCCUACCACAGCGACGGUCAGUAGCCGCGCUGUGAGGCUGAGCGGCCACCCUGACACUUAGGCGCGGCCGCAAUUCCUAAUGGAGGCAGCAGUGGGGGAUCUUGCACAAUGGAGGGAACCCUGAUGCAGCCACGCCGCGUGAGUGAAGAAGUAUUCCGGUAUGUAAAGCUCUAUUAGCAGGGAAGAUAAUGACAGUACCUGAAGAAGAAGCACCGGCUAACUACGUG
rnacentral:rRNA from 1 species